AUGUGGACGCUGCGCUGGGAUCUGCAGCUGGCCACGGUGGUCUACUCCGGGGUGUUCAACACGGGCGUCACGUUCGUGCUCGUGUCCUGGGCGGUGGAGCGCCGCGGGCCGGUGUACCCGGCCAUGUUCAACUCCCUGUCGCUCAUCGCCACCACCGCCGUCGAGGCCGUCGUGUUCGGCACCGACGCCUACCUUGAUGGUGUGCUGGGGGCGGCGCUCGUUGUCAUCGGACUCUGCGCGUUCCUGUGGGGCAAAAGCAAGGAGCUCGCGGCUGCCAAGGCGGUCAAUGCCGAGCAGGAGCUGUGGCAUGCAUGA
rnacentral:rRNA from 1 species